UCUGGCAUAUUGCUCUCACUAUUUCUAUGCCUAUAAGAAGAGGAUAGAGAUUUCUUGGUUUCCCUUAUUUGAUAGUUUUUUGCUUACACUACCCAUCUCUUUGAUUCUUCUUCUCUUUGCCAUUUAUAGAAGUUCAUAGGGACAGUGGGAGUUAUAUAAUCAGGCAGGUAUGGCCAUCAAAGAGGAUGUAGAGAGUGAUCUGCAGGACGGCAUAAGAGCGCCACUGAUGAGGGUAGAGAAUAACUUGGCUGAUGGAGGAAGCAGCAGAGGAGGGAAUCCAUGGAUGGUUUACCUCAGCACAUUUGUCGCAGUUUGUGGCUCUUAUGAAUUUGGAUGCUGUGCGGGUUAUUCGUCGCCUACUCAGUCUGCCAUCAGGGAAGAUCUCAGUUUAUCAUUAGCAGAGUAUUCAGUGUUUGGCUCCAUUUUGACGUUUGGUGCAAUGAUAGGUGCUAUCACAAUUGGUCCCAUCACUGAUCUUCUUGGUCGAAAAGGGGCAUUGAGAGUGUCGAGUGCUUUCUGUGUUGCAGGUUGGCUUGCUAUUUACUUUUCCAAGGAGGCUUGGUCUCUGGACAUUGGCAGACUGGCAAACGGAUACGGAAUGGGAGCCUUUUCAUAUGUGGUGCCUGUUUUCAUAGCUGAAAUUGCUCCAAAAAAUCUUCGAGGAAGACUAACUGCUAUAAAUCAGUUAAUGAUCUGCGGUGGAGUGUCCGUUUCCUUCAUUAUUGGGGUACUAGUUAGUUGGAGGGCUUUAGCAUUAAUUGGACUUAUUCCCUGUGCUGUGAACAUUUUCGGUCUCUUUUUCAUUCCCGAGUCUCCAAGAUGGUUGGCAAAGAAAGGACGCCAUAAAGAGUUCGAAGUUGCACUGCAAAAACUUCGUGGGAAAGAUGCUGACAUAUCUCAUGAAGCAGCAGAAAUCCAGGAUUAUAUAGAAACUCUUGACCGGCUCCCUAAAGCGAAAUUGCUAGAUUUGUUUCAAAGGAGAUACUCACGCUCAGUCAUUAUUGGAGUUGGGCUGAUGGUUUGUCAACAAUUUGGAGGAAUCAACGGCGUCUGUUUCUAUGUCAGCGAUAUUUUUGAUCAAGCCGGAUUUUCAUCCAGCAUUGGAACUAUAACCUAUGCUAUUCUUCAGGUUGUGGUUACUGGCAUUGGUGCAGCAGUAAUGGAUAAAGCUGGAAGAAAGCCUCUAAUUUUGGUUUCUGCAUCAGGGGUGGUACUGGGCUGUCUUUUGACUGCAGUUUCAUUCUUUCUGAAGGUUCAUGAACUGGCACUCACAGCAACUCCCAUACUUGCUGUAACCGGCAUACUGUUCUACAUAGGAUCCUUUUCAAUAGGAAUGGGAGCAGUUCCUUGGGUUGUGAUGUCUGAGAUAUUCCCUAUAAAUAUUAAAGGGCAGGCUGGAAGUUUAGCAACGUUAGUGAACUGGUUUGGUGCAUGGUUGUGUUCCUACACUUUCAACUAUCUUAUGAGUUGGAGCUCCUAUGGUACCUUCAUUCUGUAUGCAGCAAUCAAUGCUCUGGCUAUAUUGUUUGUGACUUUGAUGGUACCUGAAACAAAGGGGAAAACCCUGGAACAAAUCCAAGGAGCCAUUAACAAAUAGAGAUUUCAAGCAAGAAUUAAAAAAGAAAAAAAAAAUGAAGAGCAUUAUUUGUGGUAAUUCUCAUUGAAAAUUUUGACAGCUCAAUUCAGCAACUUGGUAGAUGGAAUCUUCGAAGAUGCUUCAAAACCACAAGAAUAUUGCACCACUUUUCUUUUUUCUUUUUUUAAUAAAAAAAAUAGUUUAAAUUAUUCGUACCUUUGUGUUUUAUUUGUUGCAAGGAAUGUAUGAAAAAUAUAUAUAUUCUUUUAGAAAAAGAAAAGGGGGAAAAUAUUGUCGGGAACAAAAUUCGCCGGGAAAGGUAACAAAAGCUUAUAAAUCGGGACCUAGAAAGAAACACGUAGAAGCAUCUUAAAUCUUGUGUUUUGCUUGAACCCAUUUCAGAGUCCUCUCCUAAGGGCCAUUGCGGGGGUUCAUAAGUCCACCCCGUUUCCUGUUGGAUUCACAAAUUGCAGUGAAUCCUAUGGCAGUGAGGUUUCUGAGUAUCUGGCUUUCAGGUAUCCAGAGCUGGUGCGCUACAACAGGCUUAUAAAUCGGGACCUAGAAAGUAACAUGUAGAAGCAUCACCGGAAUGGUGUAUGUCACCUCCUAAAACUUGUGUUUUACUGGAUCCGCCUAAUGAAAAGUCUUCGGACAAUGCUGAUUUCCAAUUGACACCAACUGGUCGUCUUCUAGAUAAGUAAAUGAAUUUGUCUGUAUCAAAAGGAAAUUAUGGACAAGGAGGCAUUGAUCAAGUCCAAACAUCUUAACUUAGAGGUAUUGACCAUUCAUUUUUUGGCUCCUUUUACUGGGCAUGUUUUGAUUCAAAUCCUUUCUUUUGUCACAGAACCUGUAGGGGGAAGGCUUGCACUGAUAGGAAGCACUGCCGUCUGGAAAGAAGUUCUAACCGUUGCAAUGAAUGUUCAUUCUGUAUGCAGCAAUCAACGCUCUUGCAAUAUUG